ACCAAAUCGUUGAGUAUGAUACCAUUUGAAAGAAUAGUGCUAGGCACAAUCACCAUAUACAACUCACAAACUCUUUAAUUUGAGAAUAUAUUUGUUGUUCUAAAAAAAUAUUUUCCAUAUUAACAAAAUUAGCUUAGCAUAGCAUAAAAAAAAAGUUGGACCAUAUUGCAUAUUUUAUAACUUCAAUCAUAGGUGGAAUUGAAAUAAUUCAUACUUCAAAGAGUACGUGGAAAAUGAUAUAUUAAUAAUCUUAAUGAUAUACAAAUUCCAAUGGUAAUGAACUCAGUCAAGGACAAACCGAUGAUGAUAAGGAGCAUAUAUUAAAUAUUAAAGAGGGAAUAAUCCAACAAACAUAAACUAAAUCAAUUAGAUAAAAUUGCACCUGAUUAUUUUCUUGUUAUUUUUAUUAGUAAUAAUAUUAUCAAUUACUUUUUAGACUAGCACAAUACAUAUGAUUUUUUAUAGUAAUUAAUAUUUUUUAAAAUAUAAAUUAUGUAACUCUCUAAUUACAAUUCGUACGACCAAACAUGACAUAAAAAAUUACGAUAUAAUUACUAUUUAUAACAUAGUAACUACUAUUACUUUGUACUUUCCAAACAUAACCUAAUUUAAUCGUGCAACAAUUUUAUUAUAAUUUUGAUAAGUUAAUUAUCUAAUUAUAUAAAUUUUGAUAUUUUCAUGCAUACCAGCCCAUGUUUUUUUUUGGGGGUUCUACAUUCCAAAAUUACCAAAUCUAUUUUAAACAUUAUAUUUACAUAAUAAUAUUACAACAAAAACAGAAUUUUCAGUGAGGCUAUUGCCACAAUUGUAAGUCCCUCUCGUUAAUGGCUAGUGAACUCAAAGCUCUUUUAAAUGGCUGGCAUGGUUGGUAGGUUCACGGUUCUCUCAAGAACACAACCGAUGAGCACAAAAGAAGCUAUUUAAUACUAACACAAAACACACACUUUUAGUUGAUAGAUAGCAAAAGAACACCAAAAUGGAAGUUAAAGGUUUACGAUCUAACUCGAGCGAGUCGCGCCCUUAUCUCUUCCAACUCUUCCUCAUCAUCUGCACCCUCUGCAAUCGCUUCUUCCUGUAAUAUUUUGAAGCAGUAUAGUUCCUUUAGCGUUUUGUAACAACAAGUAAAAGAACAUAAAAACAAUGGCCAAGGGAACAUACUUGAUGUGAAGUGGUUUCUCUUUGGGUAGGUACCCUCGCUCUUUCCUUCCGAACAGCUUCAGGAAGCUGUGCAGCAGUUUCACCAGCUAUUUCCGAAAGAACCUUAUUGACUUCUUCUUCUGUCUCUUCUUCUAUAUCUUCUGAAUCCAAUGCCGUGUCAACAGCAUCAUUUACUAUUUCUUCAAUCACCCCAGCCUAUAAACCAACUUGCAACUGCAGCUUAAGAGAAUUUAAAGAAAAAAAGAGAUGUACUCGCCAAAUAUGCUGCAUGACGGUACUUCUUACAUGCCACUUAGGUCUCUUAUCAGUUUUAAAAGGGACGUUCAUUGAUUUAGUUACGUUACUAAAUAGUUCACCUAUCUGGUUCUUUCAAUCCUCUUAAGUCUGAAUCCAUAUCCCACUUGACUGAGCUGAAAAACAGGGAAUCUGGCAUCCCCAUCUGUUAAAUAACUCAACACCAAAUGCACCUCCUCCACUCCCACUAAUAACGGUGGAUUUUUUAUCCAAUUAUCCAUAAUCUUUUUCCGAAGAAAGUUUAUGUGACUAUAUCUAAUAUUUAAAUAAAAUGAAAGAAAACUUCAAACUCGUAAAUGAAUCUUAAAUAACCUUUAGACGAAACCAUACUGGAUCAAAAUUUGAAAUUUCAAUUGGACAUGUAAGAAAAUAAACAGCCUGACAGUUUACUCGAGCACCAGGAGAAAAUCAACUAACUCAAAAAAAAAAAAGCCAAAUACCCAGUGUUAAUAUGUUACUUGCAUUAAUUUCCGAUGAGUUGAGAAAACAGAGAUUUAGAACAACUGAGACAGGAAUAUUGCCAACAAGGAUGAUGAAUAUUAUGAAACAAAAACUGGCAACAUAAACAUAACACAAUUACAAACUUUAAAAUUACCUUGGUCAUUUCUUUGCUAAAUUCUUGCAUUGUGGUAGCCAUUUGUGGAGCUUUCAUGAGGUUGUUUACAAGUUUCAUGACUUCAGCACUCUUGGAAAGAUGACCGACAGUACGAGCAAUUGCUUCAAAUCCAUUCCCAGAAAAGAAACAUUUAUAAAUAAAGGUUAGAGAGGAGCAGAAGAGAUCUAUGUCAAGCAUUUCUUCCAAAAGAAUACAAAAAACAUUAAAGAAAGAAAAAGGAGGAAAAAGAAAAGGAAAAAAAAAUUCCCUACAAUACCCUUUUAUUUUCAGCAAGGGCUCCCCAAACAUGCCAUUCCUAAAGAUGAGUUAAUAUCUAAGGCAGAUGGGAAAAAAAUUGAUAACCUCAACUCCAGCAACAAACAAGGUUUUGUUGCUCCAGAAAGAAGUUGAAAGUGAAGGUCUUCUUAAAUACUACAAUGAAAGUGAUUUUACAUUGGAAGUUCAUAAAUAGCUCGACAUAGCAUAAAUCUUUUAUUAAAAAAGAUUCUGCAAUCAGUCAUUCUUGUCCUCCUGUAAACAUCACCUCCCAGAAACAGAAAAAAAGCUCCAAAAUAACCACAUGAAUAAAUCCUUGUACACUUUUAAGGCUGAAUCCACCAACACAGAAAGGAGUAGGCUUCUCUAGUAGCGAAAGCAAAACAAUUUUCCAGACAUAUCGACAUGAUAAAGCAUGAGUGUUCUUAUCUUUCUAUGUAUAAAAAUUGUAGAGGCAUAGCUUCUGUAAAUAGAAAAAAAAUAAGAAUAGGUACUUCAGUAAUCGUCAAUAUCCCGUAAAAGAUGAUAAUAAUGAUUAUUGAUAAUAAUCAAAAGUCAAAAUCACAUCUUUCAACCACCAAAAUUGCUAUUCCCAUAAAACAUUAUUCGACUUGCACAUUCUCCAAAGUUAGAAGAAUAUGUACUUAGGUGUGUUAGUUUAAUAGUGAAAAUACCAAAUCAUUCAUGGAAGUAACAACAUGCCAUGAACAUUCUCAGCAUGCAUUCUGAUUCUUAUGAAUUAAAAAGUUUUAGGCGUAGGGAUAUAAUAGUGUCUUGGAAUAAACAUAACGCAUAAAAGCAUAAGUUGUCAUACCAACACUUUCUCCGAGGUGCAUGGAUAUUGAAUUAAGCUGUGCCUUAUUCUCAUAUAGACGGUUCACAGCUUUUCUUGACAUUACAAUUUCUUUUGCAAGUGCCUGGAAAUAUAUAGGGAUCACAACGUGAAUGUAAUUAAGAGACAAUUCAUCAACAACAAGAAAGCAGAUUGAAAAUUAAAUUAUGGGCAUUCAAGCAUGCGGAUGACGGAAAUAGAUAAACAUUCUCAUAUAACAGUUAUGGGUACACAGGUUCUAAUUUAUCAAACCUAUUCAUUUUUUGUCAAGUACCUGUGUUUGAUAUAUAGACGAACAUGGAUAUGGAAUAUGACUCUCCAAAUACAUGGAAAAACUUAAAGAAAGAAUUGAACAAGCUCAUGUCACACAUACUCAAAUCCAACACUCAUACCGGAGUACCAGUAGUAACAUAGGGUCAAACCACUUAACUAAAACAUGAUCAUUUCUUGAUCCCAAAAUCUACAUUUCCCUGUUUUCAGUUAACAAUUUGUGUUUCUCACUAAUAGCCAGUCACAGUUAGGCCAGCUUUCUAAUCUUAAGUUUAGUCUCUAAACUUUCGAAAGCUUACUGGAUGAAUAUCUAAGAUCUUUAAUAUUUCUAUAUUCAAUUAGCAUCCCUUGCGUGCAUGCCUCAUUAUGUCAUUCAAACAAGAAUAAAUUCCAAUCUGCUUUGGAAAUUUAAAUACCUAAAUUAUACAUCAUAUUAGGACCAAAUCCUUUUAAGGUAAACUUCAAUCUACAUGAUAGAAGAAAAUUUAAAUAUUUAUAGUAUUCAUCAUAUAGGGCCAAACCCUUUUAAAGUAAACUCCAAUCUACAUGAUAGAAAAAAAAUUAAAUACCUAUAUUAUUCAUCAUAUUAGGGCCAUAUCCUUUUAAAGUGAACUCCAAUCUACAUGAUAGAACAGAAUAAAAUAAAAGAAUAGAUCAGCUAUCAACAAAAGAUAAGAGAUAGUCUAUGUUGCCCCAAUCAUUUUUCUUGAAUAUCCAUGUCCAACACCCAUGUCCUACACAUAUUCGGACAUGGGUAUAGGGAUAUGAGUCUCAAAGAACCCUCAAACAUACACUCACAUCCGAGUCCAAGUAACAUAACAAAUAGUUACUACUAGCCACAAUUGAUUUCUUGAAAAACAAGCCAAAAAGACAAAAAAGAACAAGUAGAAAAAUUCACACUAGGGAAAAGAAAAAUUAGUUCAGAUAUCUCCAACAAUAAGGCCAGUAUCCGGAUGGCAACAAAAUCAAUUAGAUAACCCGUAUUCCAUAAUGAUCUUUGAUGUAAUUAUAUAACAUCUACCUAAUCAUUCCAUUCUAGUAAACAAGAAAAGAAAAAGAGUUCAAUUCCCUAACAACUAUGGCACAACCAAUCUACUUAACUAAAAUUCCAUUGAAAACAAAAUAUAAACAGGAACACUAAGAAAUUACCUUAGCAGACCCCAUGUCAUUUCUCUUGGCAGCUUCUCUAAUUGCUUUUUGUACACUUUUCUCCUCUCUCUGAACAUCUAAAACAAAAUCCAUAUGAAAAAGAAAAACCCAUAAUCAAUUUUCUUAUCUGAAAAUUCAACAACCAAAAACCAAGCAAUAUUAAACUCCGAAUUUAACCAAUUAGCUCAAAAAUCACAUUUGCACCAGAAAACUAAUUUUUACGAUUCACCUAAAAACUAAGAGAAAAAAGAAAAUGAAGUAACUUGCCUCUGAUUUGGCGUUCAAUGUUACGACACUCUUGACGAAGCUUUCUUUGCCAAUCUCUUAGUAAUUGCUGUGGGUUCGGCUUGGGUUUCAACAUAUUCUUAAAUUUAUCCAUCUUUUGCUAGUCUCUUUGUAUAUCAGUUUAUUCCUAAUUUUCUCAUCGGCAUUUGUUUCCCCGGAAUCUUUUAUUUGCCUUACUUCUGCACUUUUCAGGGACAAGAGAGUACACAGUGAGCACAAGACAGCGACGUCGUAUGUAAACUGCUUUAGACUUUCCUCCACAAAAUUUUGGCUUAAUGCUCGCUUUGUCCCCAAACUAUACCAGUUUUUCAUUUUGAUACCUAAACUUUUUCUCGUCUCAUUUUAGUACAUAAACUGUCAUUUUGUUCCAUGGUUCAGUUCAGUUUUUUUAAUAGCGUUAAAAACAUUUAAAUUUAAAAAUAGAAAAAUAAGAAUAUUAAAAAAUAAAUAUUUUUAAAAAAUGCCUUUAACUUAACUUACCGUUGAUCAAUGUUGAUUGGCCGUUGAUCACUAUGUUAACUAGUGUUGAUUGAUUAUUGACCGAAUUUUAAAUAUUUUCAAAUUUUCAUAAUUUCUUAAAAAUAUAAAUUUUUUUUUCCACUUUUUAAAAAACUUAAUAAAUUUUUUCUAAAAUUUAUAUAUUUUGAUUUUUCAAUUUCAUAUGUUAACUUUUUCAAUUUCUAGACUUCAUAUUUUUUAGUUAAAACUUUUUUUUUCUAAUUUUUCUAAUUUUUUAUUCAUUUUUUUAAUUUUUAGAAUUUAAAAUUUUCUCAAAAAUUAAAAUUUAUUACAAAUUUUCUAGAAUAUAUUUUUUUAAAAAUUUUAAGUUUUUUAUUUGCAAUUUUUUAAAAUUUAAAUACUUUUUAUUUUUAUAAAAUUCUACAAUUUUUAUAUCUUAUGAUUUUUUAAAAUUUAUAUUUAUAUAUUUUAAAAUUUUAAAAUUUUUUUAUUUUUUGAAUUAUUUUUAUUGUAUAUAUGAUUUUUUAAUUUUUUAAUCAAAUAAUAUAUAUAAUAUUAAAAAAUAAAAAAAGACUAAAAUGGUGCAUUCUAAUAGCGACACGUGAUUUGCUGUAAUUUGAUACAUCAAAUUAGGCGCUCCAUUACACUCGAGAAGCUUAUUCUCAAGCAAUUUAGGAGUUUUUUAUUAUUUAUUUUUGUCAAUUUUUAACUUUUGUUAUUAAUAAAUGGUUUUUAUUAGUUUUAUGCUCUUUUAAGAACCAAAUUGGUCAAAUGGUGCCAUGAGGGACUUAACGAUAUAUUGAGUUGAUGUAGGAAGUUGAUAAUGGGCUGAAGUUGAAGAAAUCAUCAUUCAGAGGGGAUAUCACGACACUGAGGCCAUGGAAGUCAUGAUAUCCCUUACAAUGCUAAAGUGAAGAAAAUUGAGAUAAACUCUAGUGAUAUUGCGAUAGCAAAGAUGGAUAUUGCGACACCGAGACCCCUCAAGACUCCAAAUUUCAAUAUUUUUUUGGGUAUCGCGACACCAAAACUUGAGUAUUGCGAUACUGUUGUCUGGCAAGAAGACAAUUGACUGUAGGGGUAGUUUUUAUCCAACAACAAUUAAAAUACAACAUCUAAUGGCAUUUUGGUUAAAAAUUUUGGAUUGUAAUUAGAUGUUAAAAGUCACUUUUGACUGAGAACUAAGGAAGUUGUUCACUUUUUACUUUCUUGUCAUCUUUUUGGUUUUCUAGCUGUCUUCUUCCUCGUUUUUCUAGGGUUUAGUUUCAAACUUUUCUAGUUUUAAGUUGUGUUAGUUGGUAAUCAGUGAGUUUUUACUGUAACUUUACCUUAAUUGCUAUUUAGUACUCUAAACUUUCUUUGUAUUUUCAUUUUAAUCCAUAGCAUUUAAUAUAGUUAAGCUUUAUUUCCUUUUUCUUAGUUAAAAAUAUGAACUUUCAUGAUAUUUUGCACCUCCAUUGUUGCCAUAUUCAUUCUCCUCAAGCAAUCAUUAAGAAAACACUAAGCUUUCUUUAACCCUAUCUUUGUGCUUAUGUUAAUGUAUGACUUGAAUGUAUUUUGGAUUGUUGCUUGUAUUGGAAUGAUGAUGAGUAGCCAAAUCUAUUGGCUGAUGGAAAUGUUGUUUGGUUAGUUUUUGGUAUAGGGACUAAAUUGUAAAAACUAGACUAAAUUGAAUAAACUUCAAAACUUAGAAUUGACGCCUCUAAGGGAACAUAUAGAUAGGGGAGACCAAUAGGAGAUCCUAUUGAGUAUCAAUUUAUUUAGCCCGAGUUAGUUUGGUGAGGUUGAGAGAUAAACUAGACUAAAUCGUCUAAUUUGAUGAAAUGGUGAUCAAGAGAUAACAUUGAGCCAAUUAGAAGUUUAAACCUUCUAAGCAAUUUGAUUUAAACUUCUAAUUGAGCCCUCACUGACCUCAAAAAAACCAAUUUGUUCCUUCUGCUAACAAAAUCGUCAGUUGAUCGACUGGACUGUUAAUAUUGCUGACAUGAUUGACGGAAGCCACCAAAAAUUGCCAUGUGACAGUAUGCUGAAAUAAGCAUGCUGACGUGGCAAAUAUAAACAAAAUUUAAAAUUUUUUAAAUUAAAAAAAUAAAAUAAAAUGUGCAUAUAUAAUAAAUCUAAACAUCUUGAUAGCCUUUUCAUUACAUAAAUUAAAAUUUUAUUACAUGCUUCAGUUUUAUCUUGUUGAUUUGGAACUAUGUAGCGACAUCUCCCACAUCCUACAAGUCUCCAUAUUAAAAUAUUUAUUGAUUUAAAAAAAUAAAAAUAUUUUAGAUUUUGUUUUUUGAGUUUUUGAACAUUCAAAAUUUAUAUAUAUAUUAAUUAGAUUUUUUAAAAAAAAUUUUGAAGUUUUUUUUGGUUUUGUACUCAUCCAAAAUGAAUUUAUACAACCAUUUGUACAAAUUCAUUUGAAUCUGGACAACCUUUUGUCCAGAUUCAUUCUAUAUGCACAUUUUAAAUUUUUUAAAAAAAGAUAUUAUAUUUUCAAAAAAUAAUUAUUUAAAAUUUAAAAAAACUAAAUUUUUUUAUUUUUUUUGACAUGGCAUGCUAGGUUGCAUACUACCACGUGACAAUUUUUUAUGGUUUCUGUCAAUCAUGUUAACGAUGUUAAUGGUUAAACUGAUUAACUAAUAGUUCUCGUUAAUGGAAGGAACUAAUUAAUUUUUUAAUUUUUUUAAGUAGUAGUAAUAUGAUAAAAAAAGAAGAAGUUAAAAACCGAUGCUAAAAAUUUUAUCAAAUUAAAGGAGAGCUUUGCUUUGAUUCACCCUUAAAAGUUACGUCAUGUAAGUAUUUAUUAUCCGCCAAAACAUGUACAAUUCUUUCUCAACAAUUAAAUCUUUUCUUUCAAAUAAUUUCCAUAUCAGUUUAUUAAUUAUAAUAAUUUAUAAUCUCAUUGUCCGUUAGCCGACCUUAGCUCAGUUGGUAGAGCGGAGGACUGUAGUUGGACAUCUUAAUAGCUAUCCUUAGGUCGCUGGUUCGAAUCCGGCAGGUCGGAUCUACUGUCACUUUUUUUACACUUCUCUAACAGAAUAGGUUAAAUUCUGCUAUUAGUCCCUGUUUUAUGCCAUAAGUUGUGAGUUUAAUCCCUAUGCUUUCUUUAGUAUUUUUUUCAAAUUUUAAAAUUGCUUUGCAUCACCUUUUCACCUUAUUAAAACGAUAGUAGGUUUAAUUCAAUUGAAUUUUUUUGAAAAUUUUAAACCAUCCAUUAUAAUUUGAUUUAGUAAAUGAAACAUGGUAUAUUAAAUAUUUAUUAACAUAAGGGUGGAAUGAUAAAAAUUUAUAUAAAAAUUAUUUAUAAAAGAUGUAUGCAAUAAAUGAAUACUUAUGUAUAAAUGAAUACAUAGUAUAUUAAAUAUUUGAUCUUUAUUUUUUUAAAUUAGUGAUUUGUAAUUGUUUUAUUUGCUUAUUUUCAAUCUCUGUCCUUUUGGAGUUUAAAAAUUUAGUACAGUAAUUAUAAAAUUCAUUAAGUUCUGCUAUUUUCAAAAUUUGAGGUGUCAAACAUAUUAUCGCAUGUGUAAUGUUAUUUCAGCUUGUUAUUUUCAUAUAUUACUCACAGAAUAAAAAUCAGUAAAUGGAUUUUAAUGACUGUCGUUUAUAUUAAGACUAAAAUUUCAAAAUUCAAAAAAAUAUAUAACGACUGAAAAUGAUCCAAUUGGAGAAUACAGACUAACUCCAUAACUUUACAAUAAAUACAAGACUAAUAGCAUACUUUAACCAAACAAAUUUUAACUGCUAGCAUUUGAUCAGGACUAAAAUUAAUCAAAUUAAAGUACAAAUACUAAAUUUAUAACAUAUAUAAAUUACAUGGACUGAUAACUAAAUUUAAUGCUCAUAACCUACACGCUCCUUUUUCUUUGAAUUAUUAUUAGGAGUUAUUUAAUUUAAUAAUUUUCCUUAGCUUAAUUGUAAUUAGUGAUGUUCAUGAAUUGGGUGGGUCGGAUUUAGGUUGAAUUCAUGUAACGUAUUUAGAUCAGUUUUUUAAGUUAUGGGCUGGCUCAGUUCGAAAAAUGGGCUUAUUUUUUUUAAACUCGACUCAAUUUAAGAAAAGUAAACUUGGGCCUGACUCACCCAUUUUUAGAUUACUUUUUUAUGUAAAAAAAUAUUUUUUAAAGAUAUACUAAAAUAAAUUUUCUAACACUUUAAAAAUAUAUUAAAAAGUAUUUAUAUUAGAAAGCACUACCAUAAAUAUAAUAAAUGUUUUAUUAUAUUAAAUAACACAAAUAAAUAUAAUAAAUAUUUUAUUGUAUUAAAUAUAAUUUUUAAAAUUUUAUAUUUAGGUUGGGUUAUUUAGUUGGGUAAGUAUCUUUUUUUUUAAGUUUUGAGAAACAAAUUUAAUUAUUAUUGAUUUAAUAUAAAUAUAAAUAAUUAUUAUUUAACAUAUAUAAUUAAUAUUUAUAUUAAUAUUUUAACUUCAUAGUUGGUGUUGGAUAUGAAUAUUGAUACUAAUAUUUAAAAUUUUUUUUAACAUGUUUGAUGUGUGACAAUAUUCAUGUAAUAAUGUCCGGUCAAUGCCUUAUGGGUAGAUAUUUUUUUCUCAAAUUAUUGUAGUUUUUUCAUACAAUGUCCAGAACUAUCCAUAACCCAUCUUUAACCCUUAAAUAGGAGGAUACUGUGCUUCAACGCACUCAAAACCACAAUCUAUUGCACUGAUAAUAAUGUCGAUAUUAAUCGAGCUAAGACUCAAUCGACAAUAUCAACAAUAAUAAUUAAUUUUUUUUUUGUUAUAGUUGUUUUUUGAAGAGAUAAAUAUGUUACGUAGUGAACCACAUAAAUAAGGUUAAUAAGUUAAAAGAAGAACCAUAGCUAAUUGUUUGAGAGUGUGUUGUCCAUUCAUGUGGUUUUCUUUGGUAAAUAAAAAGGAGAUCCAUAAGAACCUAAGUAUGGUAAACAUGAGUGGCCCCAAUCCCUGUUUUCCCUACAUCCUUGUCUCGUUGAAGCAGUCCCCUAAUACCGGGGUUGCUCCGAAAGGCCCAUCACCCAACCUUUUGUUCUUCCAAUAUUACGUGAGAGGGGAUGAAGUGUAAUUAUUUCACAUAAUUGUUUUCCUUCAAAACAUUAACAAUCUGACACAAAUAAAGAGAGAUCUGUUUUACAUGGUACCAUUUUUAAAAUCUAGUUGGAUUUUAAUAUAAGUGUUGAUAAAUAUUAUGCUAUGUAUAGAUUAGAUUGAUAGUUAUUUGAUGUUUUGGUAUUUUGGAUUAAAUCGUAAUGAUAGUUAAAUUGAAUGUUAUAAUUGAAAAAUGUACAUUUCAUGUAAGUACGUUUGAAUCGGUAUAGUGCAAUGAAAUUAAAGGAUUUGAAUAUGUACAUUGGUCCCGUUUGAACCUUGUGAAUACUUAGGAUACAAAUGGCAUGUCAUUAAGGAUUAAAUGGUUUCAGGUGUUGGUCUUGGAUGUCCUACCAAUGGCUGAGUUCCUGCAUUUGUUGUGGAUUCUCCACAGUUCAUGUGAGCAGAUUCGUUUCACAGCUCAAGUGAGAUUAUAGAUACGGUUACAGUUACAUGUAAGGCAAACUUUGUGUGAGCAUUUCCCGAGUAUCCGAUGUUAUUCAAUUUGGUUCUACGUGUAAUUCAGGUUUAAAACGAAAAUGUACGUAUAUGAAAUGAGCUAUGUUAUUGAGAAUAUGGAAUGAAAAAUGUAAUAUGUGUAAUUGGAUUGAAAAGGUAACAAAUGGAAUAUGUGAUGGGUGGUUUAUAUAUUGGAAUCCUUUUCAUGAUAUGUGCUAUGUUUCAUAGGUUGAUAUAUUUUUAAAUAUAUCUGCUAGCUAUGUGAUGUGUUGUGGAUAGGAAAGAAAAAUAUCCAUAUGAUCUAAUGAGCAAUGUUUGAAUGGUUUAAUCGUUUUAUGUUUGGUAAGUUUAAGUUUCCUUUAUACGAGUUUACUAAGCAUUAGUUGCUUACGUAAUUGUUUUUCUUUGUCUUGUAGAUCAUCAGAAAGCUUGAUUGGUUGGAAUCACAUCGAAGCAUGAUCACACUAUCCAAUUAUCAUUUUAGUAGUUUUUGGUUACUUUAAUUUAGGGUUAAAAAUGACAUGUAAUAGGGCUUGAAUGUUAACUUGACAAUUUGGUAUGUUUGAGUAGUGCCAAACUUAUGUAUGCCUUAAUGUUUUUGAUUGAUGAAUUGUAAGUAAUGGUGCAAAUAGGUGUGUUGUUAAACACUUAUGCAUGCCCUUGUGAUGAUGGGUAAAUCAUGGCUAAAUGAUAUGUAUGUGUGAAAUGGUUUUGGUUUGUUUACUUGUGCUUAAUGAAUGAACUUGAGAUGUUGGUUGGAUUAGUUUUGAUGUAUGAAUUGUGGUGCCUUUUGAUGACAUAUUGGUUAGGUUUAUAGGAUGGUUGAUUUGGUAUGUUUUGAAGUGUGUUUGAAUGUGUUUUGGUCAUAUGAAUGCACGUGGAAAUAGUGUAUUUUGGUGUGCAAGAAUUGGUGCUUGAUUUGGCUUAUUUAAGGGGCAACUUAUAAAGCACAUGACCUGAGCAUGUGUGCCACACAUGGUUACCCCACAUGGCCAUGUGUAAAUAUUAUUUUAGUUGCAGAUUUCACAAGGCCUAUGACACGACUGUGUAACCAUAUUUCAAAUAUACACACAGUUUGACACACGACUUGCGACACGACCAUGCGACCCUAUUUCGAAUACCACAUAGGCAGACACAUGGGUUGAAACACGACUGUGUGUCCCAUACUUCGAAUACUCGAACGGUUUGGGUUAUGUCACACGGCCUGACCACACGACUGUGUGACCCCUGUUUCCAAAAUUUUUCAAAAUUUAAAAACUUUUCUAUUUUGUUUCAAAAUGAUCUCUGAAUGUUUUUAAAUUAUUUUUAGGGCCCCGUAGGCUCGGUUUAAGGCCUAUAAGUGCAUUUUUACUUUAAUUAAAAUAAAGUACUAUUGAUUGAUAUCAAUUAAAAUUCUUAAUUGUUUAUGUUUAAAAUUAAAUGUUCUGAUUUAUAUCGUAAUGCUUUGUAACCCUAAUCCAAUGACGGAGAUGGGUUAGCGGUGUUACAAAUAAUAUAUGAAAACCUUGAACCUUAAACCUCAAAUCCCAAACCUAAAUUUGAACCCCAACCCUGAACCCUAAAUUUGACUUUUUGGUUUAAAGUUUAGAGUUUAAAAUUCAAGGUUUAAAAUUCGAGUUCGAGGUUUAUGUUCAGGGUUCAAGUUAAAAGAUUACUAAAAUUAUGUAUUAAUAAGAUGCGGGAAGCGAAUGAAAAAUGAUUUCCAAUAAAUAAUAUAUUAAACACUAACUGAUAAAAAAAUUUCAAAGACUUUCACAGCCACUCUCAUAUAUAUAUUUUGAAAAGAAAAAAGAAACUAAUAAUCCGGUCAACAUAGCAGUUCAACAGCAAUGCUUAAAAAAUACCUGAAAGACAAAAUAUUAAAGUAGAAACCAUAUACUACUGAAAAAUACCUUAUUCAUAGUAGAGGAGAUUUUAUUGAUCAUCCAAAGACACUCACAAGCUUGAAAUCUGGAGAUUUGGAGAAGCAAAGUUUAGGAAUUCAUGAUCUUUUUGUAGUGCAGACAUUCUGGUUUCAUCUAAGGUUAUCCAAGCUUCUAUUCCUUUCCCACAUUUGGUUUCAAGGAGAAUAGUUAAGUUUCCAAAUUGCCCUGUUUUUCCCAGUAUUGCCCAUGAACAAGGUUGCCCCCGUCCGAAAUCUAGUUUGUGAAAAUCAGUAUUGAGCCAGCUGGUGAAGGCGAAAAUAUCAGGUUUUUCAAAGGAAAACAACAGCUCCAGCUGGUUCAAGUGCUCAGCGAUGGCUUCAAACCCUUGUUCACCUUGGAUGGAUCUCACGUAUUCGCCGUCGAUAACAGCAAUGGAUUGACUCAUCAACUCGACCAAUGUGGAUAACUCGGUGCCUGUCUCGGCUGGAUUCGAGAGUGCACUCGCCAACCAAAACACAUUCCCAAUCGAACCAUCUAAUGUCGUAAGCUUCCCUUUUGACCUCAUGUUCACCGCUUGGACUACAAUGGAUGGUUUCAAGGUUCCUUGUAUCGCCCUGGAUGCCGCCAUUGAACAUUUCCAGAUGAAACUCGAGACAGCUACGGUUCGUGUCGGUGUAGUCACGACUUCCCCUUUUGCCAUGUCCUUUAGGAUGGCUACUGCUUCCUCAUUAAACACAAAUUUCCGUGUAACAAAAUUACCUUUGGUGAACCAUAAGUUUUCCAUCAUGGAUAUGUAAUUCUUGGGCAUUGGAUUUUUAGGUGGAAAGAUCAAGGAGGCCUUAGAUAAGGCAGGAAAUUUAAUUCCAGGGUGGUAUCCUUGGCAGAUUGUUCUCCAAACAAAGGUGAAAAUGAAGCCUGUUUUGGCGUCAGUGAUUUUAUGUGAGGCGCAGAUGCCUAAAGCUACUCCCCCACAUGCAAACAUGGUGACUUGACAAACCAAGAGAGGACCCUGAUGAUUUGAUUCCUUGUAGAAAGGAGGGCAUGGGAGCAAGUUGUUCAAGGUCUCAAUUUGAUGAUGCCUGAGAAACUCGGAUAAUCGACAACCGAUUCGAGCCGAUAAAAACGGAACACCGGCGUCGAAAUCAUGGAUGAACAUGUUACUAAAGAUUCUCCCAGAGAAGGGAUAUAAGAUGUUUAGGGUUUCUGAAAGAGAUUUCUUCAGCUGAGUCAAAAUAUUGGAGGUGUUGGUAUCACUCGGGGGAUAAAAUAAUAUGAUUGGAACAUAAGUGGUGGGAGUUAGCUGAUCAAAUACACAGAGUUUGAAGGGUUCUUUUAGAUGAAUUUCUGGGGAAGAUGGUUUGAUGAUUUCUUUUGAAAGAAUCUGAGCCUCAAACUUCAUCAUUUCUUUGUUUUUUUUCCCUCACCAAUAUGUUUACACAAACUCUAUAGGAAGGAGAAAAAUAUAUAAACUAUUGGAGAUCAAAGCCUCCACUAUAAGAUCUUCUAGUUUUGGCUAAACUACUAUAAAAGCCCUUCACUUAGUUUACCUUUGUUAAAGCCCUUCACUAUAAGAUCUCCAAUAAAUCUGCCAAAAAUAUUGUUAAUAAUAGUAAACAAUUGUAUUAAACAUGGAUAAUAAGUGUAGAUAGUAACAUAUUUUGAUGAAUUACCCAAAAAUUCUAUUUUUUUCGAAAAAAUAUAUCGGAUUAGACCGGUUUUUUUUAAUUUAUCGGAUUAAGCUGAUUUUGGAGAGAGUGUGGAUUUGGCAGGAAAGUGCUUCUAGCUAGAUGCACUUUCCUGCUCAGUCAACAAAGCACAUCUAGCUAGACGCAUUUUCCCUAAUGGCUACCCACUCAGCGGUCGAAUUCUAAUGGCUCCCCCCUAACAGUAACUCUUUUCCCCUAUUUAAACCCCAAAUUUCCCACUUUUUCAAUUCACUCUCUACUCUCUCAAUUCAUUCUCAAUCCUCUCUUAAUUCUCACUCAAUUCUCUCAGUUCACUCUCAUUUUUUAUUAAAAUUGUAUUAAGGUUUUUUAAUUUUUUUGUAUUACAAUUUUUAUUUGUAUUUAUUGAAAUUAUUAAUGACAAAUUCUCUUAUUCGUUUAGAUGACAAGCACAUUUCGACCGUUCAAUUGCAAAUGGUAAGAAUUUUUUUAUUACUUUUAAUCUAAUCUAAUUUAAUUAUUUUGUUGUUAUAUUGAAAUUUAAGAUUUUGUAUUUUUUUUUAUAAUUAGCUAGAAGAUCGGAUUUUGGAGACGUACAUUCGCAAUCUAUCUACUCCUUUAUCGUUUUUAAUCGAACCAUACUUGUGAGAUGCAAGAUUUUUGCACAUCGCCCGUAUGGGUAAGGGGUGCAAAUUGGAACUCGAACUUGUAAGCGUGUUGGUGGAAAGAUGGUUAAAGUCUUAUUGGUUUGAGAUGUGAAAUUGGACUUAUAUUUUGUGAUGUUUUCACUUAGGUCUUAAGAUCAACUAUACUUUGUUAAAUGACAAGAUGAAACUAAAAAGGUAUGAGCUUGUAGGAUUCUGCCUACAAGGUCGCGACACUAGCUUUCAACAUUACUACGUCCUUUGUUUGAGGUCGCAACGUUAACUCAUUGUUUUCAAAGUCGCGACAUUGCACCAUCAAAGUCAUGACACCAUGUUUCUGCCAUUGAUGACGUGACGUGAAACCUUCAUGGUGGCGACGCCAACUCGAUAAAACUUGAUAACUUUGCAUUUUGGUCCUCAUAUGGUCUCGGGUUAUCAUAGGAGCUUUCAUAAGCUUGUAUAAACCCAAAUAUGAGUUGGAAGAAUGUUUUAUUGAUGUUUUAUCUGAAAUAACUUAUAUAAAAAAUGUCCUUUUUUGAAAGAACAAUUUUGUAUGUUGAUAUGUGAGGGUGAGUUACAAUAUAAAUGCAAGAGGUAGAAAAGAAAAAUGAAUGCUCUUAUUAUAGCUCCUAGUUGUUUACAUUGAUUUCACUCUUUAGUAAUUGUGCUUACUUCAAGAAGGAAAAAAUAAUGCUCAUAGCCUACACUUUGCACCCUUUUCUUUGAAUUAUUAUUAGCUUAAAUUGUCUAGUCACCUAUUUUAAGAAGUUAUUUAAUUUAAUAAUUUUCGAUAGCUUAAUUGCAAUUAGUGAUGUUUAUGAAUUGGGUUGGGUCGGAUUUGGGUCGAACUCAUGCAACGUAUUUAAAUCAAUUCUCUAAGUUCGGGACCGACUCAGUCCAGAAAAUGGACUUACUUUUUUGUUCAAACUCGAUCCGAUUUAAGAAAAGUAAAUCUGUGCUUGACCCACCCAUAUUUAAAAUCUAGUUGGAUUUUAAUAUAAGUGUUGAAUGCAUGUGUUUGAUUUAUAUAAUUAUAUAUUUUUUCAUAUUCAUAUUCAAAUUUUUAGUAGAUGAGCUGGGGCGUCACCUCAUCCUGUAUUUCUUUCCAAUUAUUUAAUGACACUUCAACAAUUCUUUUCACGUCAUUGAUACAUAAUUUUGGUAAUUUUUUAAACCCCUAAACCUUGAAUUUUGAACCCAAAACCCCAAACCCCAACUCAAACCCCAACCCUAAAUCUUAAACACUGACCUCUAAACUUGACCAAUUAAUUAAAAGUUGUAAUUUCCCAUUGAUAAGGGUUAUAAGUUGAAUUAAUUAUUCUAAGUUAUUUGAAUGGUUUAAUUAAAUGAAAAUUAUUAUUUAGAUCAAUAAACAAACCAAACAAAUCUAAACUGAGAAAAAGCUAAAAUGUUGGAUUAGUCGUCGGCUUCGUUUUUACAAUUGUUUUUGUCGAGGUAAGUUCAUAUAAAGAUUUAAAUUCAUUAAUUGAUGUUCUGAAUGUAGUUUUGAUAAAUAUUAUACUAUGUAUAGAUUAGAUUGAUAGUUAUUUGAUGUUUUGGUAUUUCAGAUAUAAUCAUAAUGAUAGCUAAAUUGAAUGUUAUAAUUGAAAAAUGUACAUUUCAUGCUCACGUGGCAAAUAUAAAAAAAUCCAUAUUUUUUAAAUUUAAAAGAAAUAAAAUGUGCAUUUUAAUUACAUUAAUUAAAAUUAAAAUUUUAUGUUGUUGAUUUGGAACUACGUAGCAAAUUGUUAAAAAUCUUUAUUGAUUUAAAAAAAAUUAAAAAAAUUAUAGAUUUUUUAAAGUUUUUUAACACUUGAUAAUUUUAUUUAUUUUUAGAUUUUUUUAAUUUUUUGAAGUUUUUUUUUUAAAUUUUGUACUCUUCUAAAAUGAAUUUGUACAACUGUUUGUGCAAAUUUAUUUGAAUAUGAAGAACUUAUUGUUUAGAUUCAUUCUAUAUGCAUAUUUUAUUUUAUUUUUUAAAAAGAUUUUAUAUUUUCAAAAAAUAAUUAUUCAAAAUAAAAAAAAAUAUUUUUUUUGCUGACUAGGCAUGCUAGGUUAGCAUACUACCACAUGGCAAAUUUUAGUGGUUUUUGUCAACCAUGUUAAUGGUUAAAUCAGUCAAGUGACAGUUUCUGUUAAUGAAAGGAACCAAUAAAUUUUUUUAUUUUUUAUUGAGAUUUUUUUUUGACCCUUGGCAAAAGAAAAUUACUUGUGCUAAUUGUAAGAAUUGACAUAAGUAACUUUAAGGACUAAUAUGAUAAUAAAAAAAAAGUUAAAUACGUCAUGUAAGUAUUUAUUAUCCAAAUAAUUUCCAUAUCUAUUUAUUAAUUAAAAUAUUCUAUAAUCCCAUAACCAAUUAACCAAUUAACCGACCUUAGCUAAGUUGGUAGAGCGGAGGACUGUAGUAGAAUAUCCAAACAGCCAUCCUUAGGUCGCUGGUUCGAAUCCGGCAGGUCGGAUAUUGCCCUUUUUUUUUUUUUUACAAUUUAUUUAAAAGAAUAGGUUAAAUUUUGCUUUUAGUCCCUAUACUUUACUUGGUACUUUUUCAAAUUUUAAAGUUGCUUUGCAUCACUUUUUCACCUUAUUAAGAGAAUAGGUUAAAUUCUACUAUUAGUCCUGAUCAAAUUGUAACUGUUAAAUAAAUUAGUUUUUGUUAUUUCUAAAAUUUGAAAUGAGAAAUACAUUAUCACAUAUCUAUUAUUUCCAAAGAUGAUAUCAGUUUAAUUCAAUCAAACUUUUUUAGAAUUUUCGAACCAUCCAUCAUACUUUAAUUUAGUAAAUGAAUCAUAAUAAAAUGAUAAAAAUAAAUCAUAUUUAUAAUUAAAUAUUUAUUAAGAAAUGAUAAAAAUUUAUAUAAUUUUUUUUAUAAAAGAUGUAUUCAAUAAAUGAAUACUUAUGUAAAUUCUUAUCAAUUUCGGUUUCAAUCUUUAUUUAAAAAUACUAUUUUUGUAAUUGUUUUAUUUAAAAUUUUGAAUAAAAAUAAUAAAAGAUAAAAGAUACUAUUUUUAAAUUAAAAUUUACAAUAUAUCAAUUUUUUUAUAUAUUUUUUACAAAUUCUUUAAUAAUGAUUAGAAUUUUUUUAUCACUAUAUUUCAAAUAUCAAAAUAAUUUAUAUCUAUUUAUUAUUUAAUUAAUUAUUAUUUUGAAUAAUGUUACUUUACAUUAAUCACAACAUGAUAAAAUGCUUUAAUUAUGAUUUGAAUUUUUUAUUAUAAUAUUUGAAUGAUUAAAUAAGUUAAUGUAUUUUAAUUAUAUUCAACCAUUCAAAUAAAGCAUAUUAUUGAACCUCAUGUGAUGGCUUGAUGGUCAAAGGUGUUCAUUGUCCUAGGUGUGACUUGAGUUCAAGUCGCGUUGGUUGUUUGGGCUUUACCUUGCUAUUGUAAUUCACAAAAAAAGGAAUAUUAUUUUAAACUAAUUAUGAUAAUUAUAAAAAAAUAUUUAAAAAAUUAAUUAAAAAUUAAACACAUAAAAUCACAUUGUAAUUAUAAAAAUUAAUUUGCAAAAAAAAAAAAAAAACUGUUGUUUUGCUGCCAUUUCACUGUUAUGUUGUUAUUGUUUGCAUAUUGUAUAAUUCUUGUUUUAUUGUUAAUUUAUUACUAUUUUAGAGGCAUUUGUUUGUUAAGUUACACCUAUCUUAGUGUUAUUUAAGUAUAAAAACAUUUUUAAAUUUAUUUUCAGUUUGUUGAGAAAUAUUUAUUUUACUGUUUUUAGUAUCUUUCAUGUUUUUUUUUUAAAAAUUAACAUAGACCGAAUUAGGUUCGGGUUUAACAUCUAUAAAACGAACCUAAAAUUUUGUUAGGACCGACUUGAACCCGACCCGACACAGGUAUAGUUUAAACCCUUGAAACAUCAUUUUCUCCGAUGUGGAGUCAUAGUUUAAAAUGUCCUCACACAGCUGCACCAAAAUGGCAUGGUGGAGUGGACACAUGCCUUUCUUCUACAAGCCUUCGUGCCUCUGAUGUUUUGGAAAGAUGCGCUUUAUUCUACGACCUUUAUAAUCAAAAUACUUACUUCAAAGGCUAUUCAUCACAGGAACUCCUCAUGAAAUGGUCUUUGGAAGCAAGCUAGAUUAUGGUUAUCUAAAGGUCUUUGGCUGUAAGUGUUUUCCUUACCUUAUACCUUUCAAUAAAAAUAAACUUGAAUCUCAUUCAAUGCCUUGAACAUGCCUUGGUUAUUGUUCAAAUCACAAAGGUUACAAGUGUCUUACAGAUGAUGGGAGGGCCGAUAUGGUAUUACGUGAAUCAAUAAAUUCGAUACGGGUAUGAGUAAUGGUAUGAAUCGAAAAGGAAAUGAAUAUGUUCUUAGUAGUAGAAACUAUGGUAUUAUUUGGUUAUAUUAAAUUGUUGAAUGCAAUAUUUGUAUGAAUUGAUAUACAAAGCUAUUAUGCAUAUAUCAUAUCUUAAUGAAAUGUGUAUUGGCUAAAGGCUGAAUUGGAAUUGAUUGUGCAUAAUCUCGGUUUUGAUAUAUGCAUGUUAAUAGUUUUGGUUGAAUUAACUUGAAUCAUAAAAGUAUUGUUGAGCUUUAUCACUUAGCGUAUGGUUUGUUUAUUCCAUGUGCAGAUAUCCAUAAAUCUUGAAGCCUCGAGAGGUGAAACAAUGUCCAAAUUGUUGAUUCUGGACUCAGAAAUGUUUGCACAAUUCUCACAUUUCAAUAGAUGACAUGUACCUAAAAUUGGACCGAUUUUUAGGUUAUAAAUGGUCAAAUUAGUGUAAUUGAAUAAUGUAUGGAAAUGAAUAGUUCAUGAAAUUGGACCUAUAUAUUGUGAUGUUUGUCAUUUAGGUCUUAAGAUCAGCUAUACUUUGUUAAAUGGCAAGUUGAAAUUACAGAGUUAUGAGCUUGUAGGAUAUUCAGCCUACAAGGUCGUGACACCAGCUUUCAACGUCACGGCGUCUCCUGUUUAAGGUCACGAUGUCAACUCCCUGUUUUCAUUGCGACAUUGCACCAUCAGAGUCGCGACACCAUGUUUUUGCCAUUGAUGUCGUGACGUGAAACCUUCAUGGUGGCGGCGCCAACUCGAUAAAAUUUAAAAACUUUACAUUUUGGUCAUCAUGUGAUCUCAGAUUAUCAUAGGAGCUUUCGUAAGCUCUUAUAACCCCGGAUAUGAGUUGAAAUAAUGUUUUAUUGAUGUUUUAUCUGAAAUAACUUGUAUAAAUUAUUGAAUGGAUCGAUAUUGUAUUCCUAGUUACUUUGACAAUGAAUGUGACAUCCCGUAACUCGGACCCGACGAUCAGGUCGGAUAUAGGGUGUUACAGAUUCUUUAAAAGAAAUUAGUUUUAGAUGUAUUUGAUGAUAAAAUUAAAUCAACUAGAUUGAUAUGACAGUUUUAUUAUUUUAAAAAUUAUAUUAAAAAUGUAUUUUUGAUAUUUAAAUUAAAAUGAAAAUAUUUUUAUUAAUAAAUAUUAAUUGUAUAGGUCAAAUUUUGCUAUUGACCCUAUAUUUUGCAUAAGUUGUAAAUUUAAUACCAAUAAUUUAAUUUCGUUAUUUUCAGUCUCUAUGCUUUUAGAAUUUGAAAAUUUCAGUCCAGUAAUUAUAAAAUUCAUUAAGUUCUGUUAUUUUCAAAAUCUGAUAAGUCAAAUAUAUUAUCGCAUGUGUAAUGUUAUGUCAGCUUGUUAGUCUCAUAUAUUACUCACAAAAAAUUCAGUUAAUAGAUUUAAUGAGUGUUGUUUACAUUAAGACUAAAAUUUCGAAAUUAAAAGGAAUAUAAUGACUAAAAUUGAUCCAAUUGGAGAAUAUAAACCAAAUCUAUGACUUUACGAUUCAUACAUGAUUAAUAGCAUAAUUUAACUAAACAAAUUUGACUGUUACCAUUUGAUUAGGACUAAAAUUAAUCAAAUUAAAGCGCAAAUAUUAAUUUCAUAACUUAUAUAAAAGUACAUGGACUAAUAACAAAAUGUAACCAAUUUUAAUGUCCUUUUUUGAAAGAAUAAUUUUUUAUGUUGAUAUGUCAGGUAGAGGUGCUCAUGGGCCGGGCCCGGCCGGGUUCGGGCCAAGCCCAUAAAAAAUUUCGGCCCGGCCCGAAAUAUGGGCCUGAAAUUUUGUCCAGGCCCAGGCCCGGCCCGGGAAAAAAAUCAUAAGCCCGGGCCCAGCCCGGCCCAUUUUUUAAAUAAAUACCAAAAAAUUAUUUUAAAAAUUAAAAAAAGUAUUUUAAAAUACUUUUUAAAAUUUUAUAUUUUAAAAUUAAAAAAAUUUUAAAAAUAUUUUAAAAAUAUUUUAAAAUUAAAAAAUAAUAAAAAAGUAUUUUAAAAUUAAAAAAUUUAAAAAAUAAAUAUAUUUAUUAUAUCGGGCCGGGUCGGGCCCGGGCCAAAAAACUGGUGCCCGAGGCUGGGCCCGUUUUCUAAACGGGCCUAGUUUUUUUGCCCAAUCCCAUAUUUCGGGCCUAUAUUUUUACCCAAACCCUCCCAUAUUUCGGGCGGACCGUCGGGUAAUGUCAGGGUGAGUUACAAUAUAAAUGCAAGAGGUAGAUAGGGGUGAACAAAAUUCGAUUCUAUUCGAUUCGAAAAACUCGAUAAAAAAACUAAAUUUUGAAUUAACUAGUUUGAGUUAUUCGGAUCAACUCGAAUAAAAAAAUUAAAAUUUCCGGUUUAACUCGAAUAUGAAUUACACAAUUCGAGUAAACAGAAAAUCUAAAUAAGAAAAGACAAAACCACGUCGUUUUGGUAAAUGUUUAUCUUUUCUAAAGUUAAAAGUCAAAACCAUUAAAUUAAAAGGCAAAACUAUUUUGUUUUGAUAAAUGUUUACCAAUCAGUCUUACUUAUGUAAUUAAAUAAUCUUGUACUUCGUCUACUAGUUAAAUAAUCAAUCCAUAUAAACACAAUAUUGAGUAUAAAUAAUGUGAUUCGUUAACUCGACUUCAAAUUUUUUCGAUUCGAAAACUAUUCAAAUUAAUUUAAUUACCAAAAAAAAUUCGUCAACUCAAUUAAUUUAAAAUUUUUUAAGUCGAUUUUACUCGACGUGACUCAACGCUGAACGGUCAGAUUGUUUAAAUUGAAUUCACUCAGUAGUAACUGUGCUUACCUACUUGCCACUUGGACGACAGACUUUCGACCAACUUAUUUAUGUGUAUUUAAUUUUCUGCAGUUUGUGUUCAAAUUAAAGCGUACUUCAAAAAUGAAAAAUUUAAUGCUCCUAGCCUUAGCUUUUUCUUUGAAUUAUUAUUAUUAUUAUACUUAAUUAAAUAACUCUUGUUAGCUUAAUUACAAUUAGAGAUAUUCAUGUAUUGGGUCGAGUUAAGUUUGGAUUAAGCGCAAAUAAAGUAUUUAGAUUACUUCUUUAAGUUCGGGUUCAGCUCAAUCCAAAAAAUAAGUUUAUUUUUUAUCCAAACCUUUAAAAAAAAAACUCGAAUCUAACCCGAUCAUAUUUAAGUUUUUUAAAUUAAUUUUUAUUUAAAAAUAGUUUUUUUUACUUUUAUUUAUUUUUUAUCCCUCUAAAAUAAUUUUUUUAACUUCGUCCUUAGUGUUGGAUAUAAAUAUAAAAGAAUAACCAUAAUUGAUGCUUUGAAUGUGUUCUCCAUUCAUGUAUUUAAACUGGUUUUUUUGGUAAAAAAAUAUUUUUUAACAGGUAUGAUUUGAUAAUAUUAAAAUCUAGCUUCCAAAUGAUUAGAAUCAGAAUUUCACUGUUGAGAUUUUUUAAGAAAUUGACUCUUAAAUGUACUAUUUUUUUCCUUUGAAAAGACAGUAUAAAUAGGAGAUUAUUCCUUAAACUUCUCCCAUUAUUUUAUUCUUGGUGUUUUGCGGAAUUACACGAGAGAGAAAUUUUGUUAGGAGAUUGGGUUUUAAACCAGACCGUCUGUGAACCCUCUAAUCUUUCAUGGGAAUUGAACCUAGUCUGGUUUCGUUGGUUUUCUUUUAGCUUAUUUUUCGAUCAUAUUUUCAACCAACUGCUUUUGUUUUUUUCAAUUUUGAUUCCUUUAUUAGAAGAGCAAUAUCAAUUAUGUUCCACAUUCUUUAUCCGGGUAUAUAGAUAUUGAAAUACUGUGUUAACCUUGGGGCGACGUCCACUAUACGAUUACACAGAUCAGAACAAAUUUGCUUUUAAGACAGUGAUUCUUCCACAGCACGAUGAUUGCUCUAUUUAUUUAGACUCAGCUUGAUUUCCUAUUAGCGCUAAACAGUUUUAUUUUAUAGUAGUAUAUUUUUAACAUUAAUAACAUGAAAACAUUACUGAAAUAUCAUUAAGAUGAGGCAAUUAUUUCUAAUGAAAAUGAUUUCCAAUAAAUAAUAUUUUAAACACUAACUGAUAAAAAAAAUUGAAAAGAAAAGAAAAACUAAUAAUCCGGCCAACAUAGCAAUCCAACAGCAAUGCUUAAAAAUACCUGAAAGACGAAAUAUAAAAGUAGAAACCAUAUACUACUGAAAAUACCUUAUUCAUAGUAGAGGAGAUUUUAUUGAUCAUCAAAGUGUUUCCAGAGACGCUUACAAGCUUGAAAUCUGGGGACUUGGAGAAGCAAAGUUUAGGAAUUCAUGAUCUUUUUGUAGUGCAGACAUUUUGGUUUCAUCUAAGGUUAUCCAAGCUUCUAUUCCUUUCCCAUAUUUGGUUUCAACGAGAACAGUGAAGUUUCUAAAUUCAGGCCCUGCUUUUCCCAGUAUUGCAAAUGAACAAGGUUGCCCCCAUCCGAAAUCUAGUUUGUGAAAAUCAGUAUUGAUCCAGCUGGUGAAGGCGAAAAUAUCAGGUUUUUCAAAGGAAAACAACAGCUCCAGCUGGUUCAAGUGCUCAGCGAUGGCUUCAAACCCUUGUUCACCUUGGAUUGAUCUCAUGUAUUCGUCGUCGAAAACAGCAAUGGAUUGACUCAUCAACUCGACCAAUGUGGAUAACUCGGUGCCUGUCUCGGCUGGAUUCGAGAGUGCACUCGCCCACCAAAAUACAUUCCCAACCGAACCAUCUAAUGUCGUAAGCUUCCCUUUUGACCUCAUGUUCACUGCUUGGACAACAAUGGAUGGUUUCAAGGUUCCUUGUAUCGCCCUGGAUGCCGCCAUUGAACAUUUCCAGAUGAAACCAGAGACAGCUUCGGUUCGUGUCGGUGUAGUCUCGACUUCCCCUUUUGCCAUGUCCUUUAGGAUGGCUACUGCUUCCUCAUUAAACACAAAUUUCCGUGUAACAAAAUUACCUUUGGUGAACCAUAAGUUUUCCAUCAUGGAUAUGUAAUUCUUGGGCAUUGGAUUUUUAGGUGGAAAGAUCAAGGAGGCCUUAGAUAAGGCAGGAAAUUUAAUUUCAGGGUGGUAUCCUUGGCAGAUUGUUCUCCAAACAAAGGUGAAAAUGAAGCCUGUUUUGGCGUCAGUGAUUUUAUGUGAGGCGCAGAUGCCUAAAGCUACUCCCCCACAUGCAAACAUGGUGACUUGACAAACCAAGAGAGGACCCUGAUGAUUUGAUUCCUUGUAGAAAGGAGGGCAUGGGAGCAAGUUGUUCAAGGUCUCAAUUUGAUGAUGCCUGAGAAACUCGGAUAAUCGACAACCGAUUCGAGCCGAUAAAAACGGAACACCGGCGUCGAAAUCAUGGAUGAACAUGUUACUAAAGAUUCUCCCAGAGAAGGGAUAUAAGAUGUUUAGGGUUUCUGAAAGAGAUUUCUUCAGCUGAGUCAAAAUAUUGGAGGUGUUGGUAUCACUCGGGGGAUAAAAUAAUAUGAUUGGAACAUAAGUGGUGGGAGUUAGCUGAUCAAAUACACAGAGUUUGAAGGGUUCUUUUAGAUGAAUUUCUGGGGAAGAUGGUUUGAUGAUUUCUUUUGAAAGAAUCUGAGCCUCAAACUUCAUCAUUUCUUUGUUUUUUUUCCCUCACC
rnacentral:lncRNA from 1 species